GGAGAAAACACCUGGGAUCUCUACAGGUGGGCAAGUCGCAUACACUUCCAUAGGACUGAAGUGUUCAGCCUGUAUUCAAAUGGGAGGGUGCCAAGGCUUGGGGAAUGCCGACGGGAGACACCGUGUGGGGCCUUCUGAGGAAGUGAGAAGUGAGCCUCCUGGCUGUGGGAGAAGAAUUGUAACCAUCCACCACCCUUUGUCAGAUGUCCAAAGGCACAGGAAACCUGCUCCUCCCAGCUGGGCUGUGUUGAAGGAUUUGGUGCUCUUUCUCUCAUCCAGACUCCCCUGGUCUCCCA